rnacentral:misc_RNA from 1 species
UAAUUACUGCCGUGGCGCGUGCGAACCCUACCUCAAUUAUCACUCGCAGGUGGUGGAAGCGGCGCGGCUGGAGCGCGCCGCGUGCUGCGCGCCCGUGCGCUUCUCCGCGCUCUCGCUCAUCUACUUCGGUGCUGACUCGAACAUCAUCAAACGCGACCUGCCCGAGAUGGUGGUCGAGGAGUGCGACUGCCCGUAGCGGCUCUGUACAUAGCCUCCGCCGCGUCGCCCCGCCUCUCCCCCGCCGCUCACGCGGUACGCUUUCGCCGCUCGAAUCCGAUUUAAUCCGAAUCGAUUAUAAAUAAUAUUCUCGACUUGUGUAAUAUUUUGUUCCUCGCGUUCGAAAGACUAUAUCCUAAAAUCGAAUAACGAGACCGCCCGCGUUCGAUCCGCGUCGCGGGUGCGGUGCCGCUAAGACAUUUUGCGUUCCGG